rnacentral:pre_miRNA from 1 species
UGAUGAUGAUAAUGAUGAUGAUGAUAAUGAUGAUGAUGAUGACGUUUAAAAGAAAUACCAUCGACGUCAUCAUCAUCGUCGUCGAACUAU